GAUGAACGCUGGCGGCGUGCCUAAUACAUGCAAGUCGAGCGAACAGAUGAGAAGCUUGCUUCUCUGAUGUUAGCGGCGGACGGGUGAGUAACACGUGGGUAACCUACCUAUAAGACUAGGAUAACUCCGGGAAACCGGGGCUAAUACCGGAUAAUAUUUUGAACCGCAUGGUUCAAUAGUGAAAGACGGUUUCGGCUGUCACUUAUAGAUGGACCCGCGCCGUAUUAGCUAGUUGGUAAGGUAACGGCUUACCAAGGCGGCGAUACGUAGCCGACCUGAGAGGGUGAUCGGCCACACUGGAACGGAGACACGGUCCAGACUCCUACGGGAGGCAGCAGUAGGGAAUCUUCCGCAAUGGGCGAAAGCCUGACGGAGCAACGCCGCGUGAGUGAUGAAGGUCUUCGGAUCGUAAAACUCUGUUGUUAGGGAAGAACAAAUUUGUUAGUAACUGAACAAGUCUUGACGGUACCUAACCAGAAAGCCACGGCUAACUACGUGCCAGCCGCCGCCGUAA
rnacentral:rRNA from 1 species